rnacentral:lncRNA from 1 species
GUGCUCUAAUAAUUUCCUCAUGUUGCAUAACGGCCUCACUGCUUUGGAUCCAGAGCCACCACCCCGGGAGGCCUGUGGUCCUUGAGUGCUGGGUGAGCGAACACCAGGCUGGCUGGAGACUCAGCAUUGCCUGGGGCUUUCGGGAACUUCCUUCAGAUAAUCACCCUGCCAGACAGUGGAGGACUGCCAGACGAAUUAGGAAGACCUGCCUGACAGGGCCUUUAAAGAUGCCUUUGAGAAGAGGAAAUGCUCUCCUUUCUGAGAAGGAUACCUGUCCAGGUGUUUUUCAGAAUCCAAACUCCAGUUUCAAUUGUGAUUCAAAUAACUCCUAUGCUCCACCAGGCUCAGCCUCUACUAGUCAAAGAAACUUGGCUAAAUAAUCAAGAGGAAACAAAAUGCAAUUCAAAUUCUCACUUGCAUUUUCAAAGGAUAUUGAGGGGAUCCAGGUCACAGCCCACA